rnacentral:rRNA from 1 species
GACGAACGCUGGCGGCGUGCCUAAUACAUGCAAGUCGAACGCACUCUCGUUUAGAUUGAAGGAGCUUGCUCCUGAUUGAUAAACAUUUGAGUGAGUGGCGGACGGGUGAGUAACACGUGGGUAACCUGCCCUAAAGUGGGGGAUAACAUUUGGAAACAGAUGCUAAUACCGCAUAAAACCUAACACCGCAUGGUGUAGGGUUGAAAGAUGGUUUCGGCUAUCACUUUAGGAUGGACCCGCGGUGCAUUAGUUAGUUGGUGAGGUAAAGGCUCACCAAGACCGUGAUGCAUAGCCGACCUGAGAGGGUAAUCGGCCACACUGGGACUGAGACACGGCCCAGACUCCUACGGGAGGCAGCAGUAGGGAAUCUUCCACAAUGGACGAAAGUCUGAUGGAGCAACGCCGCGUGAGUGAAGAAGGUUUUCGGAUCGUAAAACUCUGUUGUUGGAGAAGAAUGUAUCUGAUAGUAACUGAUCAGGUAGUGACGGCAUCCAACC